rnacentral:rRNA from 1 species
GGGUUGUGAGGUUAAGCGACUAAGCGUACACGGUGGAUGCCCUGGCAGUCAGAGGCGAUGAAGGACGUGCUAAUCUGCGAUAAGCGUCGGUAAGGUGAUAUGAACCGUUAUAACCGGCGAUUUCCGAAUGGGGAAACCCAGUGUGUUUCGACACACUAUCAUUAACUGAAUCCAUAGGUUAAUGAGGCGAACCGGGGGAACUGAAACAUCUAAGUACCCCGAGGAAAAGAAAUCAACCGAGAUUCCCCCAGUAGCGGCGAGCGAACGGGGAGCAGCCCAGAGCCUGAAUCAGUGUGUGUGUUAGUGGAAGCGUCUGGAAAGGCGCGCGAUACAGGGUGACAGCCCCGUACACAAAAAUGCACAUGCUGUGAGCUCGAUGAGUAGGGCGGGACACGUGGUAUCCUGUCUGAAUAUGGGGGGACCAUCCUCCAAGGCUAAAUACUCCUGACUGACCGAUAGUGAACCAGUACCGUGAGGGAAAGGCGAAAAGAACCCCGGCGAGGGGAGUGAAAAAGAACCUGAAACCGUGUACGUACAAGCAGUGGGAGCACGCUUAGGCGUGUGACUGCGUACCUUUUGUAUAAUGGGUCAGCGACUUAUAUUCUGUAGCAAGGUUAACCGAAUAGGGGAGCCGAAGGGAAACCGAGUCUUAACUGGGCGUUAAGUUGCAGGGUAUAGACCCGAAACCCGGUGAUCUAGCCAUGGGCAGGUUGAAGGUUGGGUAACACUAACUGGAGGACCGAACCGACUAAUGUUGAAAAAUUAGCGGAUGACUUGUGGCUGGGGGUGAAAGGCCAAUCAAACCGGGAGAUAGCUGGUUCUCCCCGAAAGCUAUUUAGGUAGCGCCUCGUGAAUUCAUCUCCGGGGGUAGAGCACUGUUUCGGCAAGGGGGUCAUCCCGACUUACCAACCCGAUGCAAACUGCGAAUACCGGAGAAUGUUAUCACGGGAGACACACGGCGGGUGCUAACGUCCGUCGUGAAGAGGGAAACAACCCAGACCGCCAGCUAAGGUCCCAAAGUCAUGGUUAAGUGGGAAACGAUGUGGGAAGGCCCAGACAGCCAGGAUGUUGGCUUAGAAGCAGCCAUCAUUUAAAGAAAGCGUAAUAGCUCACUGGUCGAGUCGGCCUGCGCGGAAGAUGUAACGGGGCUAAACCAUGCACCGAAGCUGCGGCAGCGACGCUGAUGCGUUGUUGGGUAGGGGAGCGUUCUGUAAGCCUGCGAAGGUGUGCUGUGAGGCAUGCUGGAGGUAUCAGAAGUGCGAAUGCUGACAUAAGUAACGAUAAAGCGGGUGAAAAGCCCGCUCGCCGGAAGACCAAGGGUUCCUGUCCAACGUUAAUCGGGGCAGGGUGAGUCGACCCCUAAGGCGAGGCCGAAAGGCGUAGUCGAUGGGAAACAGGUUAAUAUUCCUGUACUUGGUGUUACUGCGAAGGGGGGACGGAGAAGGCUAUGUUGGCCGGGCGACGGUUGUCCCGGUUUAAGCGUGUAGGCUGGUUUUCCAGGCAAAUCCGGAAAAUCAAGGCUGAGGCGUGAUGACGAGGCACUACGGUGCUGAAGCAACAAAUGCCCUGCUUCCAGGAAAAGCCUCUAAGCAUCAGGUAACAUCAAAUCGUACCCCAAACCGACACAGGUGGUCAGGUAGAGAAUACCAAGGCGCUUGAGAGAACUCGGGUGAAGGAACUAGGCAAAAUGGUGCCGUAACUUCGGGAGAAGGCACGCUGAUAUGUAGGUGAAGUCCCUCGCGGAUGGAGCUGAAAUCAGUCGAAGAUACCAGCUGGCUGCAACUGUUUAUUAAAAACACAGCACUGUGCAAACACGAAAGUGGACGUAUACGGUGUGACGCCUGCCCGGUGCCGGAAGGUUAAUUGAUGGGGUUAGCGCAAGCGAAGCUCUUGAUCGAAGCCCCGGUAAACGGCGGCCGUAACUAUAACGGUCCUAAGGUAGCGAAAUUCCUUGUCGGGUAAGUUCCGACCUGCACGAAUGGCGUAAUGAUGGCCAGGCUGUCUCCACCCGAGACUCAGUGAAAUUGAACUCGCUGUGAAGAUGCAGUGUACCCGCGGCAAGACGGAAAGACCCCGUGAACCUUUACUAUAGCUUGACACUGAACAUUGAGCCUUGAUGUGUAGGAUAGGUGGGAGGCUUUGAAGUGUGGACGCCAGUCUGCAUGGAGCCGACCUUGAAAUACCACCCUUUAAUGUUUGAUGUUCUAACGUGGACCCGUGAUCCGGGUUGCGGACAGUGUCUGGUGGGUAGUUUGACUGGGGCGGUCUCCUCCUAAAGAGUAACGGAGGAGCACGAAGGUUGGCUAAUCCUGGUCGGACAUCAGGAGGUUAGUGCAAUGGCAUAAGCCAGCUUGACUGCGAGCGUGACGGCGCGAGCAGGUGCGAAAGCAGGUCAUAGUGAUCCGGUGGUUCUGAAUGGAAGGGCCAUCGCUCAACGGAUAAAAGGUACUCCGGGGAUAACAGGCUGAUACCGCCCAAGAGUUCAUAUCGACGGCGGUGUUUGGCACCUCGAUGUCGGCUCAUCACAUCCUGGGGCUGAAGUAGGUCCCAAGGGUAUGGCUGUUCGCCAUUUAAAGUGGUACGCGAGCUGGGUUUAGAACGUCGUGAGACAGUUCGGUCCCUAUCUGCCGUGGGCGCUGGAGAACUGAGGGGGGCUGCUCCUAGUACGAGAGGACCGGAGUGGACGCAUCACUGGUGUUCGGGUUGUCAUGCCAAUGGCACUGCCCGGUAGCUAAAUGCGGAAGAGAUAAGUGCUGAAAGCAUCUAAGCACGAAACUUGCCCCGAGAUGAGUUCUCCCUGACUCCUUGAGAGUCCUGAAGGAACGUUGAAGACGACGACGUUGAUAGGCCGGGUGUGUAAGCGCAGCGAUGCGUUGAGCUAACCGGUACUAAUGAACCGUGAGGCUUAACCUUACAACGCCGAAGCUGUU